ACAGAGGUCCCAAGCGUUGUUCGGAAUUACUGGGCGUAAAGCGUGCGCAGGCGGUUGGGCAAGACAGAUGUGAAAUCCCCGGGCUCAACCUGGGAAUGGCAUUUGUGACUGUCUGGCUAGAGUGUGUCAGAGGGGGGUAGAAUUCCACGUGUAGCAGUGAAAUGCGUAGAGAUGUGGAGGAAUACCGAUGGCGAAGGCAGCCCCCUGGGAUAACACUGACGCUCAUGCACGAAAGCGUGGGGAGCAAACAGGA
rnacentral:rRNA from 1 species